AGAGCCACCGAUGUCUUAGAUAUUCCUGUAUUUCAGACUCUACUACCCAGGCACCCAAAGAAGAAAUGAUUAACCCUGGAUGCUGCCUCAGUCCAGGUGAAAAAAUGUAUGUACAAAAAUUUAAAUAACGUCACCUAAGAUUUCACAAUUAGCAAGUGCCGGAGAUUCAAUCCACGGAGUCUGGAGUCCAGAGCCAAUACUUUACUACAUGGAACAGCCCUAAACAAUGCAGAGAAUCUUUCUUCGCAGAUUUUGAAAGAGUAAGGAAACAUGGUUAGGCACGGUGGUCAGGGAAUGCUUUGUAGAUGCAGUAGGGCAUGGAAAGAGGCCAUGAAGAAGAGAGAGGAUUCGAAAGAAUAGAGAGGAAUGAAGAAAGACUUCUGAUAAAUAUGCUUGCUACCAUCAAUUCUAUGUCCUCCGUUUUCUACAAAAUAUGAUCCUUGGCCCCUAUAAUUGCUUGACUCUAAAUGUUUGAAAGAGUGAAUCAGAGUUAUUAUGGAACAAUAUGCACUGAUGGGUAUAGUCUCCCCCUUUGAUUGGUACUUUGCAAGUUUCACAAAUAACUAACCACCUGAGAACUUGUCUCCCUUGAACUGAAUUCCAUUUUGAUUUUGUUCACCUUCUUGAUUCUCUUCUUUUUGUGCCAAAAUUGUACUUUUGCAAAGAUGUUUUCAAAAGUGUUUUUGUUCUGAUUUAAUGUGCCCAGUUUUCAACAUUCUGUUUGAAAUUGAGGAGUUGCUGUAGGAAAAGUGAAUUCAUUUGAAUGGUGAAGUUUCCUGUGAACAGAAAUAAAGUAUUGUUUCACUCUGAAA